rnacentral:tRNA from 3 species
GCAGAGAUGUCUGAGUGGUUUAAGGAGCACGAUUGGAAAUCGUGUGACGGGGGUGACUCGUCCGGAGGUUCGAAUCCUCUUCUCUGCGCCA